AUGNCCCGUUCNNCACCUNACGAGAAUCCAAAAGUUUUUUGGNUUUCUGGGGNNNAGNAUGGGUCGCCAAGGGCUGAAACUUAAANGAAAAUUGNCGGNAAGGGGCACCCACCANGGCGUGGAGNNNGCGGGCUUUAAUUNGACUCNACNNNGGGGAAACUCACCAGGUCCCAGACAAAAUAAGGAUUGACAGAUUGAGAGCUCUUUCUUGAUCUUUUUGGAUGGUGGUGGCAUGGCCGUUCUUAGUUGGUGGAGUGAUUUGUCUGCUUAAUUGCGAUAACGAACGAGACCUCGGCCCUUAAAUAGCCCGGUCCGCAUUUGCGGGCCGCUGGCUUCUUAGGGGGACUAUCGGCUCAAGCCGAUGGAAGUGCGCGGCAAUAACAGGUCUGUGAUGCCCUUAGAUGUUCUGGGCCGCACGCGCGCUACACUGACAGGGCCAGCGAGUACAUCACCUUAACCGAGAGGUUUGGGUAAUCUUGUUAAACCCUGUCGUGCUGGGGAUAGAGCAUUGCAAU
rnacentral:rRNA from 1 species